rnacentral:rRNA from 1 species
UACGUAGGGGGCUAGCGUUGUCCGGAAUCAUUGGGCGUAAAGAGCGUGUAGGCGGCCCGGUAAGUCCGCUGUGAAAGUCGGGGGCUCAACCCUCGAAAGCCGGUGGAUACUGUCGGGCUAGAGUGCGGAAGAGGCGAGUGGAAUUCCUGGUGUAGCGGUGAAAUGCGUAGAGAUCCGGAGGAACACCAGUGGCGAAGGCGACACGCUGGGUCACACCUGACGCUAAGCGCGACAGCAUGGGGAGCGAACGGG